rnacentral:rRNA from 1 species
UAGGGAAUCUUCGGCAAUAGACGAAAGUCUGACCGAGCAACGCCGCGUGAGUGAAGAAGGUUUUCGAAUCGUAAAACUCUGUUGGUAGAGAAGAACGUUGGUGAGAGUGGAAAGCUCAUCAAGUGACGGUAACUACCCAGAAAGGGACGGCUAACUACGUGCCAC